UACGUAGGGAGCAAGCGUUGUCCGGAAUCAUUGGGCGUAAAGCGCGCGUAGGUGGCUUCGUAAGUCCGUUGUGAAAGUCAAAGGCUCAACCUUUGAAAGCCGAUGGAUACUGUGAAGCUAGAGUACGGAAGAGGCGAGUGGAAUUCCUGGUGUAGCGGUGGAAUGCGCAGAUAUCAGGAGGAACACCGAUGCGAAGGCAGCUCGCUGGGACGGUACUGACGCUGAGGCGCGAAAGCGUGGGGAGCAAACAGG
rnacentral:rRNA from 1 species